UCACACGCGAGUCGAAUUUGGGAGAUGGCUGUCGCAUGGCAAUCCUAAACGGACCAAAAAAAACGAUUAACACCGACGAAUAUGCGCAUUUCUUUGCCAGGGAUACGGUUAUCUAAGGCACGUUUUUUUUUCAUGAUUUAGCAAGGUUUAGUUCGCCUCGUCCCCGUGUGGAACAGAUUCACAUUUCUUUCUCAGACAUGCACGGACUGAGUGGCAAAUGUAAAUGGAGCGUAAUUUUCACUCUGUUCUUAUCUGUCAUUUGCGUGUUAAUCUUCUGUGAAUAUUUGAUAUUUAGCAAUUUUGCAUUGUUCGUGGUCGGAGUUGAAUGGGAACAGCGGCAAAGGACUCCCCAACCGCCCCAGCUUCGCGCUUUGUUUCUCUCGUGUACCCACCUGCUAAGAGCAGGGCAGAUGGAGAGGGCUUUCCGGACAGCCCUGGGGCUCCUACAGCCAGAGGUGGUCUUCAUUUUGGGAGACAUCGUUGACUGAGGGGAAAAGGAGCUCCUCAAAGCACUACCCUGUGUACCACCUGAACGAUGCAGAGUGCACUGGGAAGGAUGCCGCCUCUCCGGAAGAGCGCCACCAGGUGUUCCAUGAGCAUUAUGACAUGCUAUACCAGGAAGCUUCUCAAAGGUUUUCACGGUUUUGACCCCUGCCUGGACUACUGGACUACUUUCCCGCCUGCCUGAUCAUCCUGCCUGCCCUGACCUUGAAUCUGCCUGCCCUUCGGUACCUAUUGGACUCUGAACUGGUUGACCUUUUUCUUGUACAUGGCCAUUCUCUUGCCUACCCCUUUUGGAUUAAUAAACAUUGUA